CCAAAAUUUUAAUGUGACAACCCACUUCUCCGGGGUUACCUAUCCUAAAAUUAUUCUAGCCUAGCACUCGUAAUUCUCUUAACCCCUUAGGCUUAGUCACCACCAAAAUAUUAUAACCACCUUAAGAAGUUUAACCGUAUUUUAUCUUAUAUAUAGAACUAUUUCAAAUUCUAGAGGUAUCACAUUCCUUUACUUUUUGAGCCUUAACUUCUUCGUCAGGGUCAAGCAUGCUUACAAGCACCGGGUGAUUGUCAGCAGGCAUAAGUAGACACACCAGUACUAGGCGAUUAUCAACCUAGGAGUCACGCUCUGUCCAUUGUUGACCCUAACUCUGUCGAAAUUCAUCUCACACUUCCGGCUAGUUAUUAACUCUAAUAUCAACUGUAACAUCCCAUUUCCUACGGGGUCGGCUAGUGAUUAGCUCUAAUAUCAAUUAUGAGUCUGUGACGCUCCACUUUUCAAGAGGUCAUCCAUCCUAAAAUAUUCUAGUUCUAACAUACUUAACUUUCUUAACCUUUGGAGUCUAGCUAGACACAAUAAAAAAUAGUAUAACUAGAUUAAGAAAUUUAGCCCUAUUUCAUUUUAUAUAUAGGGUUAUUUCAAAUCUUAAGAGCGUCACAGUAAAUCUUACACUCUUUAUC
rnacentral:lncRNA from 1 species